rnacentral:rRNA from 1 species
UACGAAGGGGGCAAGCGUUGUUCGGAUUUACUGGGCGUAAAGCGUGCGUAGGCGGUUUGACAAGUCAGGAGUGAAAUCCCAGGGCUUAACCCUGGAAUUGCUUUUGAAACUGUCUUACUUGAGUCCCGGAGAGGUUGACGGAAGUCCCAGUGUAGAGGUGAAAUUCGCAGAUAUUGGGAGGAACACCAGUGGCGUAAGCGGUCAACUGGACGGGUACUGACGCUGAGGUACGAAAGCAUGGGUAGCAAACAGG